GCACGGAUAGCUCAGUGGGUAGAGCGUGAGACUCUGAUUCUCAGGGUUGUGGGUUUGAGCCCCACUUUGGGCA